rnacentral:rRNA from 1 species
GCAUGCUCUGGGUCUUGGUGAUUCAUGGUACUAAACGAAUCGCAUGGCUUGCGCGGGAUGGCUCAUUCAAAUAUCUGCCCUAUCAACUUUCGAUGGUAGGCUAGUGGCCUACCAUGGUUGCAACGGGUAACGGGAAAUUAGGGUUUGAUUUCGGAGAGGGGGCCCGAGAAACGGCACCACAUCCAAGGAAGGCAGCAGGCGCGCAAAUUACCCAAUGCCGACGCGGGAGGUAGUGACAAUAAAUACCGAUACAGGGCUCUUUCGGGCCUUGUAAUUGGGAAUGAGUACAAUUUAAAUCCCUUAACGAGGAACAAUUGGAGGGCAAGUCUGGUGCCAGCAGCCGCGGUAAUUCCAGCUCCAAUAGCGUAUAUUAAAGUUGUUGCAGUUAAAAAGCUCGUAGUUGGCCCUUGGGCCCUUGGCCGGCCGGUCCGGCCUCACCGGUGCACUGGUCCGGCCGGGCCUUUCUUCCUGGGGAACCCCAUGCCCUUCAGUGGGCGUGGCCGGGAAACCAGGACUUUUACUUUGAAAAAAUUAGAGUGUUCAAAGCAGGCCUUUGCUCGAAUAUCUUAGCAUGGAAUAAUGGAAUAGGACGG